rnacentral:rRNA from 1 species
GUGGGGAAUAUUGGACAAUGGGCGAAAGCCUGAUCCAGCCAUGCCGCGUGUGUGAAGAAGGUCUUCGGAUUGUAAAGCACUUUAAGUUGGGAGGAAGGGCAGUAAGUUAAUACCUUGCUGUUUUGACGUUACCGACAGAAUAAGCACCGGCUAACUUCGUGCCAGCAGCCGCGGUAAUACGAAGGGUGCAAGCGUUAAUCGGAAUUACUGGGCGUAAAGCGCGCGUAGGUGGUUUUGUAAGUUGGAGGUGAAAUCCCCGGACUCAACCUGGGAACUGCCUCCAAAACUGCAUGGCUAGAGUACGGUAGAGGGUAGUGGAAUUUCCUGUGUAGCGGUGAAAUGCGUAGAUAUAGGAAGGAACACCAGUGGCGAAGGCGACUACCUGGACUGAUACUGACACUGAGGUGCGAAAGCGUGGGGAGCAAACAGGAUUAGAUACCCGAGUAGUCC